rnacentral:rRNA from 1 species
UGGCGGACGGGUGAGUAAUGUCUGGGAAACUGCCUGAUGGAGGGGGGUAACUACUGGAAACGGUAGCUAAUACCGCAUAACGUCGCAAGACCAAAGAGGGGGACCUUCGGGCCUCUUGCCAUCGGAUGUGCCCAGAUGGGAUUAGCUAGUAGGUGGGGUAAAGGCUCACCUAGGCGACGAUCCCUAACUGGUCUGAGAGGAUGACCAGCCACACUGGAACUGAGACACGGUCCAG